CUGUUGAAUUAGGUUAUGCCGCUUGUGCCUCACUCGAUCACGUAGUCCACUGAAGCCAAAGAAGAAUACACACAAACUGACAAACACAGAUGAAAGAUAGCCGCCUGAUAACAUAACACAAAGCCACACAUAUAUUGAAUCUGAUACUCUUCGACAGUCCGACUCGCGCAUCGUGAAGCUCGAAUUAAAAGUUCACCAUGGAUGAAAGUAUUUUGCAGCAAGAAGCGCCUCAAAAUCCAUCGACAGAUGAAGUGGUACGUUGAUUUGAGAGGAGAACCAGAGGAGUUUUUGCAGCUUGAGAAAUUGGAAAAUGAUGAGCUAACUGGGGUUGGAGCUUCCAUUCAGCACCUAGACAUUGACGAAGAUUAGCAUGUAACUUGCUUUUGAGAAUGUAAUAGGCGAUCCAGGAGGAAUGAAACUGAUAUGCUUUUGAGGCAUGAAACUGAUAUGCUUUUGAGACAUGAAACUGAUCAACUGAAUGUGUAUUAAUAUUUAUGUAAACUUUGGAUGGAUCAUGGAUGGAUGCAUAAUUCUUACUUAAGUUUUAAUUAUUUAUGUAUAA